UCCCUUCUUGGUUUUAUUUUUGUGCUUGUCAUCUACCCCACCUAAUACUUAAAAAGUGUUUUACUUCCUUGUGUUUAUUUUCUCUAUUUUUCCCCCACAAUCCUGGCCCCACAGUUGUGAGGACAGACACUCUCAUUUUGCCCCCUGUGGUAUCCCCGGUAUUUAAAAGAGAGCCCAGUGUGUAGCAGGUGCUCAAGAAAUAUCUGACUGUGUGAGCAAAUCAGCGAAUGCCCAUGAUCCCGGGCAGCGCCUUUAUUCUGCCCUUCUGUAUUUUCUCGUCCUACACAUGUCCACAAAACAAACACAGAGCGCCUUCCGAGCCUCCCUGCCUGCUCUCUGGGCUGCCGGGGUGCUGCCUGUGACUGACACCCGCCCGCGGGCAUGUCCCUUGGCCGCCUCCCGUCUCGGCUGGCUCUACGCUGCUCCCUGCAACCUUUGAGACACAUUCUCUGGACAUCUGAGCUUAAGAGGUCCCUGUACGGCCACAUGGAUGUCCUUCCCCCCUCCUGAUGGGCAGCUAUUGUAAGACUCUUCCAGGAUGAACACAUCUGGUCCACGGUCAGUUCCAUAAUUGUUUGCAGAGAAAGGUUUGCCUGUAUUUUCGGUCUGGCCGAGCAGUCUGCUAGCCGAUCUCCCACAGCCAUUUCUCUCUUUUAAUUCACAAGCCUCACUCUUCAGCUUAAAAUUCCCUAUUGGACAACAAGGCCCUCUGUGAUCUGAUCUUCACAUGCUGCUCUGACCUCCUUGAUCCCUCCACUAGGUUCCUCCAAUGCCAGCUUGCUCGCUGUCCCUCGACCGUGCCCUGGGGCCGCGUUGUUCCCUCUGCCUGGGCCCUUCUUCUGCUGGGUCCCCCAAACCGCCUCCCACACAUCCCUCAGCCUUCUCUGAACUGCUCCCGGCUCUCAUGCUGUGGCUCUUCACAGUGUUUCCACGGCGCAAUCUCAAGCUAUCUGUUCGUUACCUAAUUUUGUUUACUUCUUUCUAGCCCCCCAGCCCCAGGACAUUCAGUCUGUCUAUUCGCGGCUCUGGCCUCCUGUCUACACGGUGGAAGCACACUGUGGAUGUGAAGCUGGUCGGAGCUACUGGGAUGAACAGCUGAAAAAACGCAAGCAUUCCUCCUCCACACGCAGGCCUCCUCCAAGGACAUCACACAGUCCCGGCUUCCCCACUCAUCUUGCCUUCACGAUUUCUCCAUUCCCAGCCAGAGUCUCCACUCGGACAUCUGACCCACAGGCCAGGAACCCAAAGUUCACACUUUGGCACGAUCCACGUACAUCACUUCCCAUGGUCUUCUUUCUCGCCCAGAUCAGGACUUUUAAUUAGAAAGAGGGACAGAAAUACCACUCAUUUCCCGAAGUCAUGGUUCCCUUAGCAAUACUUCAAAGUCAUUUAAGAAGAACGUGACCCCUCUGGGACUGCCUAAUCCCAAUAAUCCACUUGUACGACUCCAAAGACACACGCCAGUGAGUCACAUUCUUCCACUAGCUGACCUCUCACCACGGCCCGGGAUGCCUGUCCUCCUCUGGGAAGCAGAGUUCCUAGAUCCUUCCUUCCUCCUGCUGGCGUUGGGUAGAGAACAUCAGGCCUGGAAACAGGGGUUUUGAAGUCGCAGCUCGGUCUUCAAGUGACCUCGGCAAAAUCCCUCAACCUCACUGAAUGUGCUUCUUCAGCUGGACUCUGCAGGAGAAGCUGCAAGGGCUGCAUGCAAAGAUGCCUGAGAAGUCCUCUGUGAAGGAGAAGGUCCUGUGUCCGUCAACUGUGGCCCGAGGGCCCUUCUUCUUUCUUCACUGCUUGUGUAUCGCACCAGAUAGCUGGGGAGCACGGGCCAGAAUACAGUACAUCCCCAGGGGAAAACUGCUUCUUGCUGAACACCCAAGACGCCCCAAUUCAUACUUUCCUACUGGUGCUAAUGAUAACAAAGCACAAAGGACAGCGCCUGUGCAACUUUAUUCAGAGAGGUCCACUGUUCUGCUCGAAAGUGAUGAAUCAGAGACUCAGAUACCUCAGAGCUAAUAAUCUUCAGGGGAUGCUUUGGGCUUGGUCUCCAAUAGGCAUAAAGGGAGCAUUUUCCUCCCCCUCAGUGAGAAGCUGAGUGCCCCAUUCAGGGAGGAAGGUAAAAGCCACAGGAAGUCUCAUAUUGCUCCCAGCAAAAACCAAGUCUUAGACAGGGGCACACCACAUGGGGGUUGAGCAGGUCUGGCUGGAGGAUGGUGGGCAGAAGUGUCUAGGUCUUUGGUCCCCACUUCUGCUUCCUACAACCAAUCUCAACAAGAACUUGAAUCCCAGGAGGCUGGGGAGGAAACACCACCUGGGCCUGGCUGGCCAGCGGCAGACACAUGCCUGGAGCCCAGAUGCCACUCAUGGCUUUUAAGAGCUUGGCACAACCCCAAUUCAGCAAUUCACAGAAUCAGCAGAGGCUCUCCCCUGCCUCGCCUUUCUCCACGCCCACCCUGCCCAGACCUUCCUGGAAAAAGCAACACAGAGCUGGCCAUCACCUCAUGCUUCCUUUUUCCUGCCAGCCAUCUGUAUUUCCAAAGGAAUCAAACCCAAAGCCACAGAGCAGUAAAUGGAGGCUGCUUCCUGCUCCUUGAGGAGGCCCUGCACAGGGCAACCCACUCUCCCUCUUCACCAUAAGAGUAUCCAUGUGUUUCCUGUAAAGCAAUACAAGAAUAUUUUGUCUUUUAUUAGAGCUUACUCUUAUUUUUUUAGUAUCUUCUUUCAAGAGGCCUUUUGGUCCUGGUUUCAAAGACUUACGGUUAAGAAAUCUCCCAGAAAUUUCUUAAAUUUAUCUCUGGGUCAAAUCUUAAUACGCUGGGAGAAUGUCACUCGACUGUCAGGGGGGAGGAUCUGAGCCAAGCUUAAUGAACUCAGGCUCAAGUCAGGAACAAGGAUGCGAGACAGCCGUUGUGGCCCCUGGGUGGGCUGGAAAGGGCUGAGAAGUAUCCUGUAUCUACCAGGUGGCUUGAGGGUUCAGAAUUCUCCUUUAAGAUAUUUCUGGGCAGAGCCAACAUCUCUGCCACAUAAGUGCCAUUGCACAGCAGGCCUCAGUUACUUGUAAAUCUACAUUUGGGGGGGGGGGGGACAGGGUGAUAUUGUGAUGCUCUGAGUUCCUGGAUUCCGUGCUAGCAGUUGUCAUCAAUUGAUAUCUUGAUUACGUGAGAAAGUUCCUUGUGGGGCCGAGGCUCUACAAACAAAUGCUACCUGUGUUCUCCUUUUAGUCCUUGGAGCCUUAAGUUAUUUGAGGCCUGGAGGCCCUGAGCUACAUACAAGUUCAUAUUCUUGGGCUAAUACAGUACAAUAGUCUGAAUUCAACCUCAAAUAAUAAGCUUGAAUUGUAAAAGCGUGAUUAGUAUUUGGUGAUCUAAUUUGGAGGUAUAAUGCUGUCUAGCUUGCAUGUAUCUGGCUGUCUCUAAUGAGACAAACAAAUGAAAGGGAGAAUCUUCUGGCUAUCUCUCCGGAAAAGCUUUUUUCCUUAAUGGGGCUCAAGCUCUGUUCCCUGGCAUUGCAGUUAUCCUUGAGGAAAUCACCCAACUAACAGACCCGGAAUCCCUGGGGAAAUGCCUACCUCUCUGCUCCCCAUCACCGGCAUGUCCGAACCAGAUCCUGCCUGGAAUUCUGGAAGCAGUAAUCAUUCUUCUAAUUUGGCCUAGAGACUCCUCUUCCUCACACUGGGUCUGUGCAGGACAGCACAAGGCAUCAGAGCUUGCUCUCACUGCACGAGGCCCAUGCUCCUGGGGAAAGUCCGCUGGCUUAGAGCAGGUCUUGUUAACGCAUUUCAGGAAGCAACAUUUACCCUUCCUGUGUUAUACACACGGAGACUUUUCCUCCUUACACUACUUAAUUUGUUCAAAAUGCUUAUCUCCGUACACUAAACUGCUUUCACAAUCUACUAAUGGGCCCCUACCCACAGCUGAAAAUUUGGGUAAAAGAAAAGGACCUGCUCCUAGUAGCUCCAAGUCAGGAGCUCAUUUCUGGACUAGAUGAGAGGAAUGGGCUCUACUAGAAUCCUUCAUGAAUGUUUACUGAGCACCUAGCAAAUAAUAUAGAUGAAGUAAAGGUCGUCCCUUAACACUGAGGCCCAAAGUUAGGAAUGGAAAAGAACUCACACAGAAGAAGAUGCUUUGAGUCAGUCUUUCAGAAAUGUAACUGGUCAUGUGUGUUUGCAAAACAGAACCAGUAAUAUUUCAGGAUAAAUCAUUCUAGAUGACUUUGAGGGAAAUUUCAGAUUUAGAAAUGAUUUCUGACUCAGUAUCCACUUGGUGUGCAUUAGCACUUGGCUAGGAGAGCUUUGUACUCUAAUCAAUAACAUUUAGAUCUCCCAGAGGUAUGAAUCACAGAUCCUUAUUUUAUGAGCACACGACAUGGAAUGAUUUCUGCUUUCUCAGGGACCAUCUAUUCUGAAACGAACAUGAAUUUCAUUGACACUGGCCUUUAUAUUGUAUGAAACCAAGUCAAUACAUACAAAUCAAGAAGUAACCAAAAUGGACCCCAUCUCCAUGAAUGGUGGUGAGAAAAUAGCAGAUAGAGUGUUCCCUGCCAAGAGGGUUUUACUGCAGUCCAGUUUCUCUGGCUCACAAAGCUUCUGUCUCUUUGGACAUACGGGUAUUUGUACAUGGGAGCACCAAGUCCUGCAGUGUUCUCAUGGGGAAACCACACACACACACCAGGACUCUACCCUACAUCAUUUCAGCACUUCGUUCGAGUAUCUUUGAACUGGCCACAUCACCUGGGGCAGAGCUCAGGUAUCUCAAAGUAGGCAUUAGUUAGUGCUUUUCCAAGUCUUCUGUUUUAGCCCAAAAAACCAUGAGAAUUUUGCAUAAUAAUCAUAUAUAUAACAUUUAUUUCAACACAGAAAAAUAUCCUCUCCUACCCCCAAAAUCUUCAGUUGAAAUUCUCAGUCUUCUGGAUUCUUCUGUUGACCUUCACAUGACUCGAGUCUCAGGGUAAGAAGCACAGGCCUGGGCAAUGGCUGCCGAUCUUUACCAAUGGAAAGAACACCAUAAUCUUGGCUCCAACAUCAAGUUGGCCCCACUGUUUCAGAUGAUGGGUGGGGAAAGGCAACAACUGACUUAACCACUGUUAAAUCUUCUGCUGCCACCUUGGCCUGAACAUUCACAGAAUUUCUAACACACCCAUCACUUGUUGCAUGAUCUUCUUUCUUCUGGAGACUGUUCUAAGCACUUAUAUCUUUUAAAUUUAUGUAAUUAUUUUUUUAAAGAUUUUAUUUAUUUGAGAGAGAGAAUGCACAAGUACACAAGCAGGGGGAGAGGGAGAAGCAGGCUCCCUGCUGAGUAAGAAGCCUGAUGCAGGACUUGAUCCUAGCACCCUGGGAUCAUGACCUGAGCCGAAGGCAGACACUUAAACCACCUGAACCACCCAGGCGCCUCAAAACUUAUGCAAUUGCAAACAAAUUUGCAAGACAGAUAUUAACAUUAACCCAAAGAAGAAAAUGGAGGUCACACACGUUGGAAAUAGAGGUCAAGCUCACUUCCAGGUCUGCCCCAAAGUGCACUGGGUUCUCUGCCAUUCUUGAAGAGCAAUGAAUAUGUGGCAAAUGCCAUAAAUGUAAUGAUAUCCAACAAAAUUGCUUAAUUACUAAUCCUCAUUAUCAGGGUAAAUCAUACAAAUUUUUAAAAAGUCAACCCCCCAACCUCCCAGGUUUUUAAAGUAGUAGGUCACACAGAAGGUUAAACAUACCACCUCCUUAAGCUUUUUCUUCUCUUGCCAAUAUGAUGGAUGUUCAAGAUCACUGUAGAAUUAAGUCUAACCUAAGGCUGAGCUUUCAAAUUGUUCUGUUGACAAUAAAUUGCAGAUUUUAGAUCUUCACACUUUGGUGCCCAGUUUUUCAUAGGGUGAUUCAAGGCCAUGGUAAAAGGAUUAGGUAAAUCUGGGGAGGGAGUAUUUCUUACUCAGGAUGAACCGGAGUAAGAAACCAGCAAGUUGGAUGCCCUGGGAGCAUGGUCCUAACUAUUCCAUGUACUUAUAGGCUGUCUGGGGCCUGGACUAUCCAGGUUAUUGGCAUAAGCAUCAAGAAGGAAGAGAGACACUCAACUCUGACCCACUGUAGGCACCAACCAUCUCCCAUCUUCCACUGUCAGUGCAGUCCACGACCCCUCCUGCACAGAGUCCUUGGCCCACACAAGUGGACAAGCAAGUUCCCAUGCAACAGCAGGAGGAAAACCGGGGGCCAGAAGUCACAAAUCUAAUAAAAGACCCAGGCUGGGGGAAAAAAAAAA